AGACCCGAAACCCGGUGAUCUAGCCAUGGGCAGGUUGAAGGUUGGGUAACACUAACUGGAGGACCGAACCGACUAAUGUUGAAAAAUUAGCGGAUGACCUGUGGCUGGGGGUGAAAGGCCAAUCAAACCGGGAGAUAGCUGGUUCUCCCCGAAAGCUAUUUAGGUAGCGCCUCGUGAAUUCAUCUCCGGGGGUAGAGCACUGUUUCGGCUAGGGGGCCAUCCCGGCUUACCAACCCGAUGCAAACUGCGAAUACCGGAGAAUGUUAUCACGGGAGACACACGGCGGGUGCUAACGUCCGUCGUGAAGAGGGAAACAACCCAGACCGCCAGCUAAGGUCCCAAAGUCAUGGUUAAGUGGGAAACGAUGUGGGAAGGCCCAGACAGCCAGGAUGUUGGCUUAGAAGCAGCCAUCAUUUAAAGAAAGCGUAAUAGCUCACUGGUCGAGUCGGCCUGCGCGGAAGAUGUAACGGGGCUAAACCAUGCACCGAAGCUGCGGCAGCGAACGUAUCACCCAAGACAACUUUACGGAGUUGACGAUUGACGGAGCGAA
rnacentral:rRNA from 3 species